AUAAUACAUGCAAGUCGAGCGAACAGACGAGGAGCUUGCUCCUCUGACGUUAGCGGCGGACGGGUGAGUAACACGUGGAUAACCUACCUAUAAGACUGGGAUAACUUCGGGAAACCGGAGCUAAUACCGGAUAAUAUAUUGAACCGCAUGGUUCAAUAGUGAAAGACGGUUUUGCUGUCACUUAUAGAUGGAUCCGCGCCGCAUUAGCUAGUUGGUAAGGUAACGGCUUACCAAGGCAACGAUGCGUAGCCGACCUGAGAGGGUGAUCGGCCACACUGGAACUGAGACACGGUCCAGACUCCUACGGGAGGCAGCAGUAGGGAAUCUUCCGCAAUGGGCGAAAGCCUGACGGAGCAACGCCGCGUGAGUGAUGAAGGUCUUCGGAUCGUAAAACUCUGUUAUUAGGGAAGAACAAAUGUGUAAGUAACUAUGCACGUCUUGACGGUACCUAAUCAGAAAGCCACGGCUAACUACGUGCCAGCAGCCGCGGUAAUACGUAGGUGGCAAGCGUUAUCCGGAAUUAUUGGGCGUAAAGCGCGCGUAGGCGGUUUUUUAAGUCUGAUGUGAAAGCCCACGGCUCAACCGUGGAGGGUCAUUGGAAACUGGAAAACUUGAGUGCAGAAGAGGAAAGUGGAAUUCCAUGUGUAGCGGUG
rnacentral:rRNA from 1 species